AACACACAAAUUCUCAGAGCUGCCACCUGGUUAAACUUUUUCAUUUAGAUUUCCGUUAAAAAUUAUAUCGGAAAAAAUAUAGAUAAAAAUAGAGUAAAUGAAAUCAUCGAUGUAAUAACCACUACAUUUGUUACAGAUUGAUUCGAUGGCAACACACAUUUUUAUUGCUUUACUUUUAUUUACAACAAUAUUAAUGACCACCGGCUGCCAGGCAAUGCAAUACUUUUUCGAUUUCCUUUCCUUGCUCUGCUGUUAUUGUUAUCGAUACUUAACGGAAUGAACUGUGUGGCCAAAUAAAUGAACUGCUUCAAUUUGUUGGCGCCAAGCUAAUAUUGUCUUGCUGCGUUUGUUUACAUUCUAUAUUAUUAAGGUCGUGCCAAACUAUAAUGUUUUAAUAUACGAAUUCCAGUAACUGGUCCAGCAAAAUUACGCGUCACAAGAAAAAUAUUACCUGAACCCGCCGGUUUCACCUCGAAAUUAUCCCAAGUGCACUUGUGUAAACUGGGAUCAGCGUAACUGGCACUGGGUCGAUUACCAGGC